CAGCAGCCACGGGAAUACGGAGGGUGCAAGCGUUAAUCGGAAUUACUGGGCGUAAAGCGCACGCAGGCGGUCUGACAAGUCAGAUGUGAAAUCCCCGGGCUUAACCUGGGAACUGCAUUUGAAACUGUCAGGCUGGAGUCUUGUAGAGGGGGGUGGAAUUCCAGGUGUAGCGGUGAAAUGCGUAGAGAUCUGGAGGAAUACCGGUGGCGAAGGCGGCCCCCUGGACAAAGACUGACGCUCAGGUGCGAAAGCGUGGGGAGCAAACAGGAUUAGAGACCCCUGUAGUCCCUGUCUCUUAUAC
rnacentral:rRNA from 1 species